GACGUAGGAUGCAAGCGUUGUCCGGAAUUAUUGGGCGUAAAGAGUUCGUAGGUGGUUACUUAAGUCUGGUGUUAAAGCCCGAAGCUCAACUUCGGCAUGGCAUUGGAAACUGGGUAGCUAGAGUAUGGUAGAGGUAUCGGGAAUUCCUGGUGUAGCGGUGAAAUGCGUAGAUAUCAGGAGGAACACCGGCGGCGAAAGCGCGAUACUGGGCCAUAACUGACGCUGAGGAACGAAAGCCAGGGGAGCGAAAGGG
rnacentral:rRNA from 1 species